GAAUGGGGCUGGCUGAGCACCGUGGGUCGGCGAGGGCCCGCCAAGGAAGGAGCGACCGACCGAGCCAGGCGCCCUCCGCAGACCUCCGCGCAGCGGCCGCGGGCGCGAGGGGAGGGGUCUGGAGCUCCCUCCGGCUGCCUGUCCCGCACCGGAGCCCGUGGGGUGGGGAGGUGUGCAGCCUGUGACAGACAGGGGCUUAGAGAUGCAAACAGACUCAGGGAGAGAAACAGAAGCUGAUUCUGUGACAGAAGCAGAUCUGUGCAGCACAGAUGCGGUGUGCGUGGGGAGGGGGUCGCCUGGGAGCGCAUUGCGGAGUGCUUGUGUGUGCAGAUUUUUCUCUGGGCUCAGGACUCAUUGUAUGUGGGUCAACACCUUCCUCCGUGACUGUGUUUUUGUUCUGAGCUGAGUUUUUUGGUUUGCCCUUAAAAAAAUAAUAAUUUGGCAUCCAGAGACUGGCAGACUGCCUCAGGGCCUGGACUGCGGAUAUAUUGUGUUCUGCUUGAGGUUUGGGGAGGAGGGCAGGCGGUAGGAAGGGAGAGGGGGAGCUGUUUGUCACACUUUGCUGUAGAGCUGAGAGCACCUGACAAGCUUAAGGAAGUCGUUGGGCUAUGUGGACAAGAAGGAGCCAGCUCCCAGCGGGUUCACAAGCUCUAUCGGAGUUGAAAGCGUGGUCAUGGCUCUAAGGAGCACCUCACGCCCUCCCUGUAGCUGUUAUUGCAGUUUCAGGCAGAGAUCCAGGAGCUGCAGAGGAAGGGAGAGGCACAAUAACCUACAUGGACCCAAGGGAGACAUGUGUUCCUUUAAAAAUGUGAACAGAAGGAAAAACAGAAUGUGUGCAACUGGGGGUCUGAGGAAAGACUGUUUUGAAAGAGGCUGUCAGGGAAUGGAAAGGGUUAAGCUUUUCAUCCUGAAGAACCUGCUUCCCAAAUCAGGCCUUCCUCCCAUCACUAGACCCUGAGCAGCAGCUGGUCCUAGAGACCCCCCUCGUACUGCGCUGCCACAGUCUCAUCCCAUUUCCAGCUCUGUAUUAACCACCAAGCUGCAGCGGAUGGGGCAAGACCUAAGCUCAUUAAUUUCCAGGUGGAGGAAAUGGAGGAGGGGCAGGUCCCUGCAGUAGAGGGAGGAGCAGAGAAAGGAGGCCAAGAGCUGGAUCCUUCUGCCCAGGAAGCCUGCUGCAUCCCUUCCCCCGAGCAUGGCAGAGGCCUGGCUUUGCAAGGCCAAGGCCAUAAGGGAUGCUUAGGAGAUUAAUUUGAUUCCUGACACAAUAAUCAAGCCCUAAGAGUCUCCACUGAAGCUUACUGAGGACUUCUUUCCUCUCCAAAGCCUCAGUCUAGCCUGCUAAAUAAAUUAGUAUUCAGUGAUGCCUUGGAUCAGGGCCCCUCCCCGGCCUCAGUUUCCCCAAAUAUUUAUUAAGUACCUACUGUGUGCAAUCCUUGUGUAAUUAUUACCUCUUAGGCUCUUCAUUUGCCCUCCUAAAGCAGUGUUUAGAGUCAGGCAGAGGUUAAGUGUGUUGCACCUCACCUAGAUACUUCCAGAACCUUCUCUGGGUCUGCAGAAUGUGGCACAACCUGCUUGCCCCCGCAGAGAGAAAGCUGCAGUGCACAUCCUGCAGACUGCAGGUGCUGGGCUGCCUCUGGAGUCCCAGAAGGCAAGCUUGGCUGCAGGACAGAAAGGGAGAACAGCUUCUCUCACCCCUGAGCCUUCACAAGCCCUUGUCUAUUUGCCGUUGCCUUCAAAAUAUACCUCCCCCGAAACCAGUAGCUUUCUGAGUCCUGGUGUCCCCUCCGCCCUUUCUGGACAGGUUUGGGAAGAAGAAAGCAGUCAGUGCUGGGCCUUAUUGGGGUGUGAAGCGCCUUGCUCUGCCCCUUCUGCUCACUGUGAAGGCCGCUGGAUGCUUCUCUUAGGCAUGGUUUAAGCCUCCGAUUACUAAACCCCUUGCCCCACAAACGUCCACAUUGACGAGCCUCUUUUUAGUAACUGCUUCCCCGUAAUUCCUUCAGAGGUUGCUGUACCCUUCGCUGAUGUGCUGCCCUCCUGUAAAACCUCCAGAUGCCUUCCCACGUAAUGCCCCUUUCAGAUGCUUUAAGCUGAGAGCUUAAACCACAGGUACCAUGGCUGACGCCUGCCAGGUUUCUGCUGCAGAUAAUCUAUGAUGGGAGGGGCAUAUUUUUUACUUCAUUACUUAUGUAAACUCUUGUUCCAGAAAGCUUUAAUGUGUGUGGGAGUGUUCUGGGUCUAUUAGGUCUGUGCGCAUGGGUGUGGGCAUUUGCCUGUGUCCACCGGGUGGGUCUCAUUAUGAAAUGUAUGUUUAUGUAGGGCUUUAAUGGCUGAAAAUGGCAAAGAGAUGAAUAGACCACUUGGCCCCAUGUGUAAUUGCCAGGCCCCUUCUGUGCUCAAAUGAGGUGUCCGAGUGAAGGUCAGCCCUUCCCUUCUGUAUUUGGGGCCUAUUUAUGCCACCAGUAAUUUUAUAAGAAAUCUGAAUAGUUCUCCCCUUUGAGUGCAUUUAACUCUUUAGUAUCUUCUCUCUUACCUAUUUGAGCCCCUCUAGCUACAGUCUGGCUUAAAUGAAAGGGGAAUUAUAUGCUUAAGAAAAAGUAGGACACGGUUGAGGCAGUUUGCUGACUGAAUACGCGAAGAAGGACCUGAUGGGCUCAUAUGCACCACUGCCAUCACAGUCCCCAUCGUGAUGCAAGCUUAUAUGAUUCUUGAGAAACAGCCCAGAUCUCCUCUUAAGCGGAAAAGAGAUUGACCUUCUAGCAGAGGCAAAGGGCCCACGAGUCAACAUGAGGAGUUGUGCUGGUGGUAUGUGUGUUGGAGGCUGGGCUGGCUGAUUCACAGUGACGAGGAUGUCAAUAAUAACAAGAAUGAGAAUGAUGAUACCUAAUAAAGACUUUUUUUCCCAA
rnacentral:misc_RNA from 1 species